CUUGUUAAAGAGCUGGUGAUCGAGUUCACCCGGGUUCUGCUAGGUGCUGCACUCCUGCCAUCUCUUUAGGAUGAAGAAGAAUGGUCUGCAAAUAGGAAAUAGUGCACUAGCAUUCAUCACGGGGAAACGCCUGGUAUAGAUUUACACGUUACAUCACAACAUCUGGCCCUAAACCAAAAUUGGGAAAUAAACAUGGCUGUAGAUGAAGAGUGAAAUAUCUGGUCACGUCUCGUCAUAGCGUGUUCAAGACAGUUGAGCGCUGGGAAAUGUUGUACGUCCGAAACGAAAGGAACAAAAUAACCAGGGGACAGUGCUGCCACAAGAGCCUUAACCGCUGCGUUGAAAAUGCUGCCUCUGACAUGAUGACAUUCUCCUUUUCUCACACUGGAGGCCUUCCAGUUGCGAGUUGUCUUGAGCGGCUCUUUAGUGUGACACGGGGAAGAAGAAGGACUCGCAGCCACCAGCGGAGCCGGGCUGAGCUGCCUGCCUCAGAGUCCUGCUGAGACCUGCCAGACCUACAGUUUUCCCUGCCAGGGGCCUCGGCUCACAGUCACAACAGGAUCGCCUACAUGCCGUCCCAAGAUGAUGAUGUGAAGCCAGCAGUCUGAGUUCACAGAGGGGAGGAACUGAUCCCACAACCUUCAAUACCCAACCCAAAUCA